rnacentral:rRNA from 1 species
GACGAACGCUGGCGGCGUGCUUAACACAUGCAAGUCGAACGAAGUGGCGAACGGGUGAGUAACGCGUAAUCAACCUGCCCUUCAGAGGGGGACAACAGUUGGAAACGACUGCUCAUACCGCAUAUUGAAGGCGGGGAUUGCGUCUGAUUAGCUAGUUGGAGGGGUAACGGCCACCCAGGCGGAGAACAGUUGCCGGUCCGAGGUGAUGAACGGGCAAAUUGGGACUGAGACACGGCCCAGACUCCUACGGGAGGCAGCAGUUGGGAAUCUUCCGCAAUGGACGAAAGUCUGACGGAGCAACGCCGCGUUAGUGAUGACGGCCUUCGGGUUGUAAAACUCUGUUAAUCGGGACGCGGUACCGAAAUAGAAAGCCACGGCUAACUACGUGCCAGCAGCCGCGGUAAUUC